AUAAGGACAUGUUCGUUUCCUUUAUGAAUCUUAAUGCUUAUUUUAUUAAAUAUUUGCCUAGUAAAUGAGAUUGGAAUUCUUAUCCCUUGAUACUUCAAGAAAAUAGAGACAAUGAUAACAUGAUGGAACUAUCAUAUUCGGCUAUCGCAAAGCUUGAUCAAGCAAAACAGAAUGAGAUCCAACCUUCUUCAUAAAAAUUAGAAGGUUAUUUACUUUACUUCGUCUUUGUUACUCUUGAUGGUUUUGGUUUUGGCAAUUUCAGUUCCAAACUAAUUCAGGCUAUCCACAAGCUUUCCUUUCGGCAUCAAGACUUCAAGGACUAUUGUUGCUUUGGAGAAGGCAGUGAAGUGAGAAUUGCUUGGAAUGAGACAACCUAAGUUCUUUGAAAGAGAGAAAGAGCAAGCUAAUGGGAAGGCAACGCACAUAGAGGGGAUGAGAUUGAAGUUGUCUUUAGAAUGUUAGCUUUAUUUUGUUUAAAACUUGGUAUGAUGUUAUGUUAAAAUGGAUAAUGUAAUAAUUAGGGCUGGGCUUUUAAACCGAA